AUAAAAGUAUUGAUAGAGACAGUAUUUUAUGAGAGCAGUAAAGCGAUUCGAGGAUAGUGUAAGCUCGGACAACGUAAUCAUAAGAGAAAAUCACUCUUGAACUAGAUUGCUGAACAGAUUUAGUAAGCAAUCUCGGGCGCACACCGUUACUGUGUUCUAAGAGGCAAAUUAAGUAGAAUUAGUUUGCAACUAGGGUGGUACCGCGAGAAUACUCCUCCUCGUCCCUUUG
rnacentral:ncRNA from 1 species